AACGAACGCUGGCGGCAGGCCUAACACAUGCAAGUCGAACGCCCUAGCAAUAGGGAGUGGCGCACGGGUGCGUAACGCGUGGGAAUAUGCCCUUGACUGCGGGACAACGUUUGGAAACGAACGCUAAUACCGCAUAAUGACUCCGGUCCAAAGAUUUAUCGGUCAAGGAUUAGCCCGCGUCUGAUUAGCUAGUUGGUGAGGUAACGGCUCACCAAGGCGACGAUCAGUAGCUGGUCUGAGAGGAUGAUCAGCCACACUGGGACUGAGACACGGCCCAGACUCCUACGGGAGGCAGCAGUGAGGAAUAUUGGACAAUGGGCGCAAGCCUGAUCCAGCCAUGCCGCGUGAGUGACGAAGGCCUUCGGGUUGUAAAGCUCUUUCAGAUGCGAAGAUAAUGACGGUACCAUCAGAGGAAGCCCCGGCUAACCCCGUGCCAGCCGCCGCCGUAA
rnacentral:rRNA from 1 species